rfam:Brachypodium distachyon strain Bd21 chromosome 4, whole genome shotgun sequence.
CUAGUACUCCCACAGUCCCAUAUUAAGUGUCGCAACUUUGUCUAGAUAUGCAUGCAUCUAGACGCAUUUUAGUGUGUAGGUACAUGGGUAUUUAGACAAAGUAGCGACAGUUAAUAUGAACAGAGGGAGUAUUAG